UACAUCAUAGCUCAGUUGGUAGAGCAUGAAACUCUUAAUCUCAGGGUUAUGGGUUCUAGCCCCAUAUUGGGUGAAA
rnacentral:tRNA from 1 species